GAGAGAGGCCUGCUGCGACCAAGGCCGCUACCCUUGGUUUACUUCGGUUGAACUCCGAUGCUCUCUCG
rnacentral:tRNA from 1 species